AUGCCUCAUAAGGGCAUUUUGGUCAUUUAAAAGGGUAUAAAAAGGGUUUAAAUGAUAUUCUGAGUUACAGGUCUGAAUAAUCCAGUAAACCUACUCAUUUAACCAAGUUAUAACAGUAGGGUAUUAAUCCUAUGUUAAAUUUAUCAAUCUUAAUCAUUCUAGACACCGCAAGGGCGUUUUGGUAAUUUCACAUAUGCUUAAAAGGUCAAAACUGGAAUUCUGAUCUUAAGAUAUUCUCCUACUGUUUAAAUUAUAAAAUAUUACUGAAUACAUCAGUAGGUUUCAACCUCAUAUGUUUAAAUAGGUUCUAGCACAUACUUAUGCGUUAAAAACGCUUAAAAAGGCGAUUUGGAGCCAUUUCCGGGUUUUAUAUAGAAAGCUGAUAUUUUUAAAAUUCCAGAAGGCUCAAAAUAAUUUAUUUAACAUAUUAGAUCAGUAGAAAAAGGUUUGGGGUCCAUCGGAUUUAUAAAACUCAUUUUAUAGCCCAAAAGGGCAAAACCGGCAUUAGCCGAAUUAAGCUUAGAACACUAAGUUAUGCUCAGCCUAAAAUUAAAUAAAAAUUUCUAAAAAUACCAAAAUAUUAUUUUAAUACGGUAGGUACAAAGUUUUGUAUAAAAAUUUGGGUUUAGAUAGGCUAUAUGCAAUUUACGCUAUUUAAUUACUAAAGAAGCUUCUAAUUACGCUAUUGAGCAUAACUCCUAAUCUAGACCUCAAACUGAUGUCAAAUUUUAUGGACAAGUUUAUAAUUCAGUAGUGAAGGUUUCUAUCCUCUCACAUUUUCAAAAAUAUCGUUUUAAGGUCAAAAGGGCAUAACGGUCAACAAUUCGGCAUAUAACAGAAACUUGCAAAUGAAUAGGAUAACUAAGGAUUCAGGUUGUAUAACCUCAGAGGGUUACACUAACCUAUAAAAUGACCCUAAAGGAAUCCUAAGGCAUAUCUAAAUAAGUCUAAUUCGGGUCAGAACUGAAAGUCAAAGCAAAAGUCAACUUUCACGACUUUCGGCUCCGAACCGGGCCUAUACUUAGAAUUGUCGGGUUGAAUCAUGCUUAGACAUGUUCAACUAAUAUUUACCAAGUUAUUAAUGUGGCAAAACUGAUUUUAUGACUUCUAAUUUAAUAGUUAUGCAUUUUUAAUAUCCAAGUAUUACAAACGG
rnacentral:lncRNA from 1 species